ACAAAUUCUUCCCAUUGACGAGCGUGGAACAUAUGCUGCAUCUUUAGUAUCCCCUACCACCAUUACGUCAUUACAUUGCGUCAUCAUUGAUAUGUUUAAUUACUAUUGUUUAGUAUAGACAACGUCAUUCACAUUAAUAUAUGGAGGAUAUCUGGGGAAGACGGGCGCUCAUGUAGGAUAUUAUCGAUAAUCGUAACUAUUGAGGAAAUCAACUUUUAAUCGUUCAGCAUCCAACUUUGAGUAUCUUUCUUUGAGGAGGACAUCCGGGGAACAAGGGUGUUUACGAGGGAUAUUGUGGUACACAAUCGUACCAAUUAAGGAAAUCAACUUUUAACGUCCAGCUUUGAGUAUAUUUCCUUCACAAAGUUGUCCUGUUCUACGAAAUAAAUUAGAGUUCAAACGACCAGACAGGGCAGCUAACAAAGACUCAUGGAAUAAGUUUGUUAUGGCUACAAAGAAAUAACUUCAGAAAAGAAAGUCACUAUAAUUCACGAGUAGACAAUGAAAACUUUACAGCAAGUUUUACGAUUUUUUUACAAGGAAAGGCAACAGGGAUAUUGUCCUUGAUGAUGGGACUGUUCUGUCAAAUGGGAAAUGAUUGAUACUUUAUUUACCUAUUUUAUCUAUGAUUAUUGUAUGUCUUGUAAUAGUCUUGAUCUUAAUUGCACUUUAUGCAUAUUUUGACUAGUGAUGACAACGACAGUUCCUAGUUAAGAACGGUUUCGUAGCCAGAAAUUAAAUUUUGUCCUGUAGAGCAAAUUUUUCUUUCAUUACUGCAAAAAAAAACAUCAGAUUUCUAAACAAAUUAAUGAUUAUCAUAAUGUUCUGAAAUGUACUUAGCAGGACCAAAACUUGCAGCCUGGCGACGUUACUAGUUUAGAAGCUAUCAAAUUAUACUGUCCAAUAGCAU